rnacentral:rRNA from 1 species
UGGGAACCUUCCCUAUGGUUCGGAAUAGCUCAGGGGAAACUUGGGGUAAUACCGGAUAAGCCCUUCGGGGGAAAGAUUUAUCGCCAUUGGAUGGGCCCGCGUCGGAUUAGCUAGUUGGUGAGGUAACGGCUCACCAAGGCAACGAUCCGUAGCUGGUCUGAGAGGAUGAUCAGCCACACUGGGACUGAGACACGGCCCAGACUCCUACGGGAGGCAG